UUUCUUGGGCUUUCCCUUAAGGCAAGAAGAUUAUUUAUCAGGAUUCCUUGAUUUGUGAAUUUGGUCAGCUUUUCUUCAAGUCCUAUCCCAUCCAGGGUCUCGUAUAGCUUCAACUUGGUGAUGUUAUUCCAGGCAAGUGUUCUGCUUUCCUCAGUCAAGUCUUCAAAUGACUCUUCACCUGGUCAUGUUUUGCUUAAAGCCCUUUGGUGACUCCUGAUGCCCCCGAUACCUCAGCAUCCAAAGAACACUCUAAAUAACAAAAGGAUAUCUAUGGAAAUAUCUGCAAUUAUUCUGAACAGCAAAGGUUCCUAGGACUCUGCUGGUCCCAUUUACCUGAUGCCCAUGGUGGGAGUUCUACAUCAUCAACCAUUUUGCCUCCUUGCCUCUUCCCCAAAUCCAACUUCAGACUAUUGACCAAGAAGCUGAAAUCAUCACCAUAAAACUCUGGAAUCAGCUGAAAGUUUCAUGGAUUAAAAAAAAACAAACACCAAACAAUGUUAAAAGCCAUUAAUCAGAAACCAUGAGGAUGGUGAAUCAUCAGCUUUCUCACUUACUGACCUCUUUAAAAUCAGUUGCACCAUCCAAGCAGUUUUUCCAGGUUUCUGCAAUACUAAAUAAAAAUAAUAAAGCAAUAAAACUAAGACUCACCAAGA